rnacentral:tRNA from 1 species
GGGGGGCAGCUCAGUGGCAGAGCAGAUGCCUAGCAUGCAUAAGGCCCUGGGUUCAAUCCUCAGCACUACA